UACGUAGGGGGCAAGCGUUGUCCGGAUUUAUUGGGCGUAAAGAGCUCGUAGGCGGUCUGUCGCGUCGAUCGUGAAAACUUGGGGCUUAACCUGGGAAUGGCGUUUGAAACUACGGAGCUGGAGUAUGGCAGAGGGGGGUGGAAUUCCACGUGUAGCGGUGAAAUGCGUAGAUAUGUGGAGGAACACCGAUGGCGAAGGCAGCCCCCUGGGCCAAUACUGACGCUCAUGCACGAAAGCGUGGGGAGCAAACAGG
rnacentral:rRNA from 1 species